rnacentral:rRNA from 1 species
AACGAACGCUGGCGGCAUGCCUAACACAUGCAAGUCGAACGAGACCUUCGGGUCUAGUGGCGCACGGGUGCGUAACGCGUGGGAACCUGCCCUUAGGUUCGGAAUAACUCCCCGAAAGGGGUGCUAAUACCGGAUAAUGUCUUCGGACCAAAGAUUUAUCGCCUUUGGAUGGGCCCGCGUUGGAUUAGCUAGUUGGUAGGGUAAAAGCCUACCAAGGCGACGAUCCAUAGCUGGUCUGAGAGGAUGAUCAGCCACACUGGGAGUGAGACACGGCCCAGACUCCUACGGGAGGCAGCAGUGGGGAAUAUUGGACAAUGGGCGAAAGCCUGAUCCAGCAAUGCCGCGUGAGUGGUGAAGGCCUUAGGGUUGUAAAGCUCUUUUACCCGGGAUGAUAAUGACAGUACCGGGAGAAUAAGCUCCGGCUAACUCCGUG